UACGAGGGGAGCUAGCGUUGUUCGGAAUUACUGGGCGUAAAGCGCACGUAGGCGGCUAUUUAAGUCAGAGGUGAAAGCCUGGAGCUCAACUCCAGAACUGCCUUUGAGACUGGAUAGCUAGAAUCUUGGAGAGGCGGGUGGAAUUCCGAGUGUAGAGGUGAAAUUCGUAGAUAUUCGGAAGAACACCAGUGGCGAAGGCGGCCCGCUGGACAAGUAUUGACGCUGAGGUGCGAAAGCGUGGGGAGCAAACAGG
rnacentral:rRNA from 1 species